rnacentral:rRNA from 1 species
GUCUACGGCCUUGUCACUCUGAACAAGCCCAAUCUCGUCUGAUCUCAGAAGCUAAGCAAGGUCAGGCCUGGUUAGUUCUAGCAUGGGAGACCACUUACGAAGACCAGGUGCUGUAGAUG